rnacentral:pre_miRNA from 1 species
UCGCCUGGGGUAUUGUUAUAGUACAUAUUCUCAUUCAGUAAUCUUGGAGAGUCUGCAUUUCUAACAAGCUCCCAGGUGAGGCCAA